rnacentral:rRNA from 1 species
CCGAACAACCAGCCCUUAAAAUGGGAGGCGCUAUAGCGUUGUGCCUAUACCGGGCCGUCGGUCGGCAGUGUGAUACGCCCUCCUCUUGAAGAAAGAGACGAGGCGCUGAGGCCCCGACGAGUAGGGGGGUCGCGACGGUGAGCGUUGAAGGGUUAUGGGCGCGAGCCUGCCUGGAGCCGCCGUCGGUGCAGAUCUUGGUGGUAGUAGCAAAUACUCCAGAGGGAUCCUGGAGGACUGACGCGGAGAAGGGUUUCAUGUGAACAGUGGUUGGACAUGAGUCAGUCGAUCCUAAGCCGCAGGAGAAAUCCGACCUAGUGUACUGGCGUGAUUCUUUUUUGUCCGGGGUGUGUGAAUAUAUAUUUUAUAUAUGUACGCACACUUUACAACAAAAUAUUAUCAGAGGCGCCGCUUGGUUAAGGCGAAAGGGAAUCCGGUCCUAAUUCCGGAACCAGGCUGUGGCUACGUCCGACGAAAUACGAAUUAACCCUCGUUUUCUCGGUCGCGGUAACGCGACACAAACCGAAGAAGCUGCCGAGAACCCCGGGAAGAGUUUUCUUUUCUGCUUGAGGGACCGAGACCCUGGAAUUCCGUCGUGGAGCGAGAGGGUUUUGGAUACACGCUGGUAAAAAGGCGAUCCCGAAGAGCCCCGCGUUUCUGCGGGGUCCGUGGUCGUUCUCGACUGGCCCUUGAAAAUUCGGUGGGAGGGUUACGUUUUUGGACGUUCACGCCUGCUCGUACCGAUAUCCCGCAUCAGGUCUCCUAGGUGAACAGCCUCUAGUCGAUAGAUGAAUGUAGUAAGGGAAAUCGGCAA